CAAAAAGGGAAGUUUAUUAAGUACCAAGUCACAUGAUCAUAAGGUUUCGCAAUGGGCUGUCUGCAGGCUGAGGAACAAGGAGAGCCAGUUCGAGUUCCAAAACUAAAGAACUUGGAGUCUGAUGUUCAAGGGCAGGAAGCAUCCAGCGUGGAAGAAAGAUACACGCUGAGGAUCAAUACUUUGUAUCGUUCAGUACAAUCAAGUUGAUACUUAGUAUUAACCAUCUCUGCAAGUUAUUAAAGAAAAUGAUCUGAUCUGAUGAGUCGAAGACCAUGUUACUUGAUCUGGUUCAGCUUAGAUACUUCAUGUUAAAAUCUGAUAUGGUUACAACCUCUCAGAUGCCUUCAGGACCCAGGCAAAUGGAAGAAAUGUAUGAACAGAAAGCUCAUGUGUCAGAAAGUAGGGAGUCAUGGGCUGGGUGGAGAAUUGGACAAUAUAUGUCCACUUCCAGGCACGAAUUAAUCUCUGCGGGGGAUAGCAAUGCCGAUGGAAAGAGUAUUUUGGUGGCACAGGUCAACACAGGCCCUAGGCAAGUCAUUGGCUCUCCAGUAAACGACUCCCAUUCCCUCUACAGAUGGCUGAUUCUGGUAAGAGACUUCUGAAGUCCAGUGUGAGUUAUCGACCUUGUAUAGAAUUGUCCCUAGGGCACUAUUUUAGUUUAGCUCAGUCUGAGAAUGACUGGGUUCUGAUAUCUAAGGGCCAUUGAGUGCCUAUAUGAAAUGGCAUGUGGCUCAGCCUAUUAGCACACACACACAAGCUGUAUGUCAACCACACUUCUAUUACUAGCUCUCUUCUCCCUCAAGGUUUAGAGACUGGGACGGAAGAGGUAAAAUUAAACUGACCUUUCACCUUUUGUAGCAGCGUUAAAGCAUAGUUAUGGGCAAGAUAAACAUUUUGGAGUAUAUAUCUCUUCUGACAAAAGUAUUCAGCUUUAAGAUCUGUUCCUUUUGGCAUCUUUCAUUAUGAGAGUAAACCGUUUGGAACAUUCUGGGCAUCUAGACUUAAUGAUAAAGGACAAGGAUUGUGACACACACAUACACACAAGUACACACACACACAGACACACCCCACACUUAUAUAUAUAUUUAGUCUCUAGGUCUUUAAAUAUGCAAGUUCCUCUUCCAAGAGUGCGCUAAGUCACUCCUCUUUUGAGCCCUGACCCAAUUGUCAAUCCUUUUGUCUCCUGCAUGGGAAGCAGCUCACAAGCACAUGACCUGUCAGAUUCUGAAGCCUUGUUUCAGACUUGCUGAUUCAGAAUCUCUAUGGGCAGAAGGCUCAGGAAUCUACACCAGGAGCAAUGCACAUGCCAGAGUUUGUCUUUCCUCCACUGAGUUGUCACUCAUCUCCUUAAUUUGAGAGUGGCCCACAUUGGGGCAGACAUGAUGUUUUAUUUCUCUUUGUAUUUUUGAAGAGUCGUACAGAACCAGGGCUCGGCAUGCUGUUGACUGACUGAAUGAAUGCAUUUCUAAUUCAUCUGGUUCUACUGCUGACCAUAGGGCAUGAUACACUGAGAUUAAGCUUCUUUGAUUUUAAACAGCAGCAUUGAGAAAAACUAAGGACUCUUUAGGAAAGACAGUUCAGAUUUGAAAACAUGAGGCAUUAAAUGAGAUUAAUCUUAUUUUAUAGUAUAGUUAGGUAAAAUGGUACUAUGUCUGGCCCAUAGUAGGUCUUUAAUAAAUAUUUGUUGACUAAAGAUAAAAGCGAAUUCAUAGAGGAUUUUUAUAUCAGUAAGGGGUAGUGCACUAGGGUUUCUGAGUUGGGAAGUUAAUGUUUUAGUACCUUCCUAGGUGAUAUAUUGUCUGAAUAUUUGUGUAUCCCCUAAAAUUCAUAUGUUGAAAUUGUAACUCCCAAGGUGAUAAUGUUAGGAGGUGGGGCUUCUGGGAAGGUGAUUAGAUCACAAGGUGGAGCCCUCAUGAAUGGGAUUAGUGCCCUUAUAAAAUAGGCCCAAGGGAGCUUAUUUUUCCCUUCCACCAUUUGAGAACAUAAUGACAAGGUACUAUCUAUGAACUAGAAAGCAGGCUCUCACCACACACUGAAUCUGCUAGAACCUUGAUCUUGGACAUCCAGCCUCCUAAAUGGUGAAAAAUAAAUUUCUAGUUUCUAUAAGCCACCCAGUUUAUUACAUUUUGCUAUAGCAGCCCGAAUAGACAAAGACACUGAGAGACAUGGCCAUGGGUAAGGGAUGGGGCUUUCUGGAAAGACAAUGCCAUUCCAUUUAUUCAGGUUGUUGGUUUGUCUUCUUCCUUAUUGAGUCUUCAGAGUCCAGGAUAAUCCAUGUCAUGUAGCAGGGACUAAAUAAAUAUCUGCCGAAUGAAUGACUGCUGUAAGUUCUUGGCCCAAAGGAGCAGCUGCAAUUUGGAAGAUUUCUAGAUCAGAAGAAUGACAGGGCAUACUUGAACAGCCUGGAGAACUCUGUCUCCUCAAAGCAGACCUGCUGGCUCACAGCUCUAAACAGGCCCUGCUCUCAGCAGUCAGACUCCCUGAUAGACGGACUCCAUCUGGGUUCACCCUGGUUAGUGUGAAGGAAGACUGGGGAGUGAAAGAUGAGGCAGUGUGAAUUUUAAGACAGGCCAGGCCAGGUGAACUUCACACCUGCUCUAAUAGGUGUGAGCUUUAGGGACAUGUGGCAUCUCUGCCAGCUUGGCUCCAGCAAGCACAGAGAAUACACUAUAACCUUCCUUCUGGGGACUCAUUAGUGAGGGGAAGUUGUUGCUCAGCCAGCACGGGGCCAGUCUUUCCAAGAAGCAGGUUAAUUAAUGUGGGUGGACAGCCAGGGAACAAAAACAAGAAAAUAGUUUGGAGUAAAAUGUUAGCAGAUCUAUCUGCAAGAGAUAGCAUUGGAAAAUUCUGAGGUCACCCCUGCAAGCUGACCUUGGUCUUUUCAUCUACAGGAUAGGGGUAAUAAUGCAUCUGCCACAUAGGAAUGUGAGGAUUACAUGGGAGAAUGUAUAUGAAAUUACUUUGUAUACUAAUGUGAUAUAGAAAUGCUAUUUCUGUUUCUUUCUGUGUCUUGUUCAACAAACACCUACUAUGUGAUAAGCACUGAAGGUGGGAAAAAGACGGAUGUCCUGUACCUAAUGACUCUCCACAGUGUGAAGUAGAGAAAUUAGUAUUUAAAAAAAUAGAACCCCCACCAAGUGCUAGAGUUUCCAAGAAAGGAAAAGAGAGUCCUUUUAGGGGUGUCAAAGGCUCCACUGAGGAGGCAGCGGUGAAGUUGGGCUUUAUGAAAUUAGGAUUUUGAUGGGCUAACAUGUGGAGGGAGUGAAGAUGUUUCAGGUGGAGGAACUACCAAUAAGCACGUCCAGGGAGUAGAGGUGGAGUGCAGCUAGAGAGUAGUGAGAAAUUUGUGCAGCACAUGCAGAAGGAGAAGAGAUGGACAGGCAGAUUGGAGCCAGAUUAUAGAGCCCUGGAGGUAGAUGGAGACCUUAUUUGAUAGAAGAAGGAGGCCAUUAAAGGCAGUUGAGGAAGGAAGUCAUGUGACUCAUAAUGUCCUUUAGGAAAAUGAAACUGAUUGCAAUAGGAAAGAGACGGGAUGUUAAAAAUUCACAUCAUGGUUUUCAUCAAAUUCAGAGGUUAUUUCAAGCCAUAGGAAAGAACAGACAAGGAUGCACUGGGAUUUCCGGCCUACUUCUGGAAGGGAAAGAGGAGCAAACUGUGUUCUGAUAACGACUUGGGGACAGUUCCUGCAACCAGAACAAGUUCAUUAAAGAGUCAGGCCAAUUCAAAUAGAGUAUAGUCCCGGGACAAACGCUGCUGUAUAUUGCUA
rnacentral:lncRNA from 1 species